GUUCCUGAUGGCAUGUAUCACUUGCCACCUUUCUUCAUGUACCAUGGAGAUCUGUACUAAAGAAGGUGUUGGCAUCUCUUCCUGUUUUGCACUAUGCCUAAGAAAGGAUGUGAACCAAGCACACUCUAUGAUGAUGAAAUGAAUUUCCAGCUGAACUCAUCAGUUAAAGAUGCUGUUGCUUUUACUCUUGGUUGCUACAGAGACAAUUGCAAGUUCUCCAAUCUAAAUUCCAAACAGCAUGUCAGAAUCUUCAUUUCUGGCACAUCACCAAAGAACAUUAUCAACCAAUAGACUUCAAUCAUGCCACAAGAG